UACGGGGGGAGCAAGCGUUGUUCGGAUUUACUGGGCGUAAAGAGCUCGUAGGCGGUUUGUCGCGUCUGCUGUGAAAACUCAAGGCUCAACCUUGGGCUUGCAGUGGGUACGGGCAGACUAGAGUGCGGUAGGGGUGACUGGAAUUCCUGGUGUAGCGGUGGAAUGCGCAGAUAUCAGGAGGAACACCGAUGGCGAAGGCAGGUCACUGGGCCGCAACUGACGCUGAGGAGCGAAAGCAUGGGGAGCGAACAGG
rnacentral:rRNA from 1 species